AAGGGAGGGAGGAGGAGGGUAAGAAGAAGGUGGUGAAGCGGAAAGCAGUGAGGCACAACGGUACAAUUUCUUUUGUGGGCGUUGUGCGGGUAAGACGUGUGUGCACUUUAAUGUAUACAACAAGGGAAUAGGUCGGGUCAUGCCGGCCACCCCCCUAAGCAUGGCAGCAAACGAGUCUCGGGUGUCGAUCAGAGAUGGGGCACGUCCCGCCACAAGUCUGGCUCCGGCGUUAUAUCAGCGCACCACCAACUUGGUAGAGCCACGUCUGUCACCCGAGCAAACUCCGCCAUAGUGCCGCUCGAGUCCGACUUGUACCCGCCCAAGCGUCUGAGAAGCCCCGUCAUCCUGUUGCUGCUGUUGCUCAUGUGACCAUGUGAUAGCAGUCUAUCUCCAGGCCGUCCACUUCAGAAGAGUCCGCUGACCGCGGAGGCGUGCGGUCCGGCACAGGUCCUGCCACUACUAAGGGAGAACCAAACCAGCGUAUCCUAACAAUCCCCAACGUGCGGCAGCAAACUGGUUCUUCUUGCAUUGGAAGACGUUAACUGUCUUGUUGCACCUUCCACGGAGGAAUUGGAUCCUGCCUCGCACUAUCUGUGCUGACAACGUGUUGCCAUCCAGGGAGGGAGGACACAACUGUGCCUCGUUGCACCUUCCAAGGAGAAACUGGAUCCUGCCUCGGCCUCGCACCAGCUCUAGCGUGACAACACGCGAUGCCAUCCAGGGAAGCGAUGACACUGCCACGCUGUACCUUCCAAGGAGGAAAUGACCCCUGCCACGUACAGCUGGUAACGUGGUGCCAUCCAGGGAGGGAGGACAGACACUGCUCCGCUGCACAUUCCCCAGAGGAAUUGACCCUACCCUGACAAAACGCGGCUGUUACCACUCAGGGAAGGAGGUCAGACUGCCUCUGCACCUAACCUAACCAAUACAUGUUUCCAAUCACUCGUGUAAUUUUUCUUGCCAUCUAAUGUGAAUGUACCCACACGUAUAUUAUUCCAUAUUCUGUGAUGUAUGUACCCAUGUAAUAUGUUUCUACUAAUAAUAAAUCAUGAUUAAGAAAAUUUA
rnacentral:lncRNA from 1 species